UAUAUAUAUAUAUAUAUAUAAAAGAGUUUGAGGGUAAAGAGGAAGAUAGCUUUCUCACGAUGAGAGAACACCAACGAAAUUAUUAUUAUCGGCAGGUACAACAAUACAUCUGGACAAAGAGGAGGCCUUCUUGAAAAAGAAUGAAAAAAAGAAGAAAAAAAAAAAGAAAGAAAGAAAGAAGGAUAUUGACUGUUCAGAAAUCUGUGGUAAUAAAAAUAAAGACAAAAGGAUAGUAAGAGUAUGAGAAGGGAAACGAACGGAAAACCGGAUCGAGCAAAGCAACCUAGUCUCUCACAUAGCAACAAGGAAACCUCUUAAAGAAUUUCCAUCGUGGUUUCUCUAUGUCCGAGUCGUAAAUCGACGUGGAGUUCGGUUGAGUCGGGAAAAGUCUUGUCUUCCUUCCAUAGUUCAACAUUGUAAGAAGACCACCGCCAAGAAUAUUUUCCUGAAUAUCUAUUUCUUGGUCUUACUAAGUCUUUAGUAUAUUUACUAGUUGAAAAUAAUAGAAAUAUAUCAUUAUUACGUUAUACGUUGUAACUGUACUAUUCUGAAGAAGAACAAAUCAAUAAGAUAAUUAAUGACAAGAUCUCGCGCGAAAUUUCUGGGCUCGUAGUUUUACGAUUCGGAGGAAUAAUAAUAAAAAAAAUAAAAAAUAAAAAAUUUGCCUGAAAUAUCACGAGAAGGAGGACAGAUUGAAUUUCAAAAAAGAAAAAAAACAUCCGGAAAGAAGUUUAUUCGAGGAAGUUAAUCAGUCAGUUUAAUACAUUUCUUUGGGACUGGCCAUUCGUGUUUUCUUCCUGGCUAAGAAGAAAAAAGAGAGAGAAAAAGAAAGACAUUUGGGCAUGGACAAAACAUGAUCAGUCGUUGUCGUCGUCGUCGUCGUCGUCGUCGUCGUCGUCGUCAUCUAAGGCACUUUGUGUGACGGUACCUCGAUGAAAAACUUUCCUUCUGAGUUCUGAGGCCUGUUACCCUCGUUAAGGUCAAUGACCGAAAAAUGACCUGCAUCUCUUCGUGUAACUCCCCUCUACUUCUCUUUCUUCUUCGUCUUCGUCGUCGUCUUCUUCUUCUUCUUCUUGAACUACGAUGUUGCUAGCACGAAACAUGCAUCUUCUAAUGGAGCUUAACCCUUAAACGGCGAAACAAAGGAUUCCCUUUUCUUUGGAAUUCCAUGAAAAAUGAACUUAGAGGUUUAUAAUGCCUUCUUGGAAUAUUAUUUUGAUGAAGCUCGUAGAGCUUUUCGUUUAAUUUAAUAGAACUAUUAACACGACCGUAGAAUUCAAAGUUAAAG